rnacentral:rRNA from 1 species
UACGUAGGGGGCAAGCGUUGUCCGGAUUUAUUGGGCGUAAAGAGCGUGUAGGCGGCCAUGUAGGUCCGUUGUGAAAACUCGAGGCUCAACCUCGAGACGCCGAUGGAAACCAUGUGGCUAGAGUCCGGAAGAGGAGAGUGGAAUUCCUGGUGUAGCGGUGAAAUGCGCAGAUAUCAGGAGGAACACCGGUGGCGAAGGCGGGUCUCUGGGCCGUAACUGACGCUGAGGAGCGAAAGCGUGGGGAGCGAACAGG